rnacentral:misc_RNA from 1 species
GAUGAAGAACGUAGCGAAACGCGAUAAGUAAUGUGAAUUGCAGAAUCCAGUGAAUCAUCGAAUCUUUGAACGCACAUUGCGCCCCUUGGUAUUCCAUGGGGCAUGCCUGUUCGAGCGUCAUUUGUACCUUCAAGCUUUGCUUGGUGUUGGGUGUUUGUCUCGCCUUUGCGUGUAGACUCGCCUUAAAAUAAUUGGCAGCCGGCGUAUUGAUUUCGGAGCGCAGUACAUCUCGCGCUUUGCACUCAUAACGACAGCGUCCAAAAGUACAUUUUACACUCUUGACCUCGGAUCAGGUAGGGAUACCCGCUGAACUUAAGCAUAUCAAUAAGCGGAGGA